GCAAGUCGAAUGGGUUUAGACCCAUGGCGAACGGGGUAGUAACAGGUAGGAACGUACCAUAGAGUCGUGAAUAAUCUAUCGAAAGGUAGGAUAAUACACGAUACGCCUUCGGGUGAAAGAUUUAUCGCUCUAUGAUCGGCCUGCUUCGUAUCAGCCAGUUGGUAGUGUAAUGGACUACCAAGGCAAUGACGCGUAGGGGAGGUGAGAGCCUGACC
rnacentral:rRNA from 1 species